AUGGUUCAUACCCAGUUCUCCACUCCUAUUCGUGCUUUUCGCGCAGAUUCAGCUGGUGAGUAUAUCUCCCAUGCGCUGCGAGGAUUCCUUGCUGAGCAGGGUACUCUUGCCCAGUUCUCUUGUCCUGGUGCUCAUGCUCAAAAUGGUGGGGCUGCGCGCAAGCAUAGUCACCUUCUUGAGACGACGCGUGCGAUGAUGAUCGCUGUCUCUCUUCCGCCUCACUUCUGGGCUGAGGCUGUUACCACUUCCACUUAUCUCAUCAAUAUUCAGCCAUCUGCUGCUCUACAGGGUGGUAUUCCUCUUGAGCGUCUUUCUGGUCGUUCUCCUGAUUAUUCGGCGCUUUGCUUAUUUGGUUGUGUUUGCUAUGUUUUGCUUGCCCCUCGCGAACGCACCAAACUGACCGCUCAGUCUGUUGAGUGUGUUUUUCUCGGAUACAGUGAUGAGCAUAAGGGCUAUCGGUGUUGGGAUCCCGUCGUCGGAUGCGUAUUUCCCGGGAUGUCACCUUUGAUGAGUCUCGUCCCUACUACCCGCGACCAUCCUCCUCGGUCUUUUCCACGGAGGAAAUCUCUUUUCUUACAUUUUCGGAUACACCCCCCUUUGUGCCCAGUAUUCCUACUCCUCGUCCCGAUGUUGCAGAUCCGACGCCGUCCUCUCCUAUGGUUUCUUCUCCUCCCUCAUCGCAUGACUCUCCACCUUCAUCACCGAUACCUUCCUCUUCUCCACCUUCAUCACCGAUACCUUCAUCAUCGAUACAUUCCCCGUCUCCACCUCCAUUGA
rnacentral:rRNA from 1 species